UACGUAGGGUGCAAGCGUUAAUCGGAAUUACUGGGCGUAAAGCGUGCGCAGGCGGUUUUGCAAGUCUGUCGUGAAAUCCCCGGGCUCAACCUGGGAAUGGCGAUGGAGACUGCAAGGCUAGAGUUUGGCAGAGGGGGGUAGAAUUCCACGUGUAGCAGUGAAAUGCGUAGAGAUGUGGAGGAACACCGAUGGCGAAGGCAGCCCCCUGGGUCAAAACUGACGCUCAUGCACGAAAGCGUGGGGAGCAAACAGG
rnacentral:rRNA from 1 species